GAUGAACGCUGGCGGCGUGCUUAACACAUGCAAGUCGAACGUGAGGGUGUAGCAAUCUGCCUGAAAGUGGCGAACGGGUGAGUAAUGCAUCCGAACGUACCUUUCAGUGGGGGAUAACGUAGCGAAAGUUACGCUAAUAACGCAUAUCCUGUGAGCAGGAAAGCAGGGGAUCGGAAGACCUUGCGCCGAUUGAGCGGACGAGGUCAGAUUAGCGAGUUGGUGAGGGAAAGGCUCACCAAGGCGACGAUCUGUAGCGGGUCUGAGAGGAUGAUCCGCCACACUGGAACUGAGACACGGUCCAGACUCCUACGGGAGGCAGCAGUGGGGAAUUUUGGACAAUGGGGGCAACCCUGAUCCAGCCAUGCCGCGUGAGUGAAGAAGGCCUUCGGGUUGUAAAGCUCUUUCGGUCGGGAAGAAAUCGCAUGGGUUAAUACCCUGUGCGGAUGACGGUACCGGCAUAAGAAGCACCGGCUAACUACGUGCCAGCCGCCGCAGUAACAC
rnacentral:rRNA from 1 species